UAAGUCAGAGGUGAAAGGUUGCAGCUCAACUGUAGAACUGCCUUUGAUACUGGAGCUCUUGAGUCAUGUUGCUGUGGCCGGAACAUGUGGUGUAGCGGUGAAAUGCAUAGAUAUCACAUAGAACACCGAUUGCGAAGGCAGGUCACAAAACAUGCACUGACACUGAGGGACGAAAGCGUGGGGAGCGAACGGGAUUAGAUACCCCGGUAGUCCACGCUGUAAACGAUGGAUACUAGCCGUUGGACUUCGGUUCGGCGGCCAAGCGAAAGUGAUAAGUAUCCCACCUGGGGAGUACGUUCGCAAGAAUGAAACUCAAAGGAAUUGACGGGGGCCCGCACAAGCGGUGGAGCAUGUGGUUUAAUUCGAUGAUACGCGAGGAACCUUACCAGGGCUUAAAUGGGAGACGACAGGGGCAGAGACGCCUCUUUCUUCGGACGUUUUUCAAGGUGCUGCAUGGUUGUCGUCAGCUCGUGCCGUGAGGUGUCAGGUUAAGUCCUAUAACGAGCGCAACCCCUGCCGUUAGUUGCCAGCGAGUAAAGUCGGGGACUCUAACGGGACUGCCGGUGCAAACCGUGAGGAAGGUGGGGACGACGUCAAAUCAUCACGGCCCUUACGUCCUGGGCUACACACGUGCUACAAUGGUCGGUACAAUGGGAAGCUACCCUGUGAGGGGAUGCGGAUCUUAAAAGCCGAUCACAGUUCGGAUCGGGGUCUGCAACUCGACCCCGUGAAGCUGGAAUCGCUAGUAAUCGGAUAUCAGCCAUGAUCCGGUGAUACGUUCCCGGGCCUUGUACACACCGCCCGUCAAGCCAUGGAAGCACGGGGGUGCACUGAAGUCCGUCACCGCGAGGAGCGGCCUAGGGCAAGACUG
rnacentral:rRNA from 1 species